GCGGUGGAGCAUGUGGUUUAAUUCGAUGAUACGCGAGGAACCUUACCUGGCUCAAAAUGUAUGUUGACGUAUUCUGAAAGGGAUACUUCUUCGGACAAUAUACAAGGUGCUGCAUGGUUGUCGUCAGCUCGUGCCGUGAGGUGUCCGGGUUAAGUCCCAUAACGAGCGCAACCCCUAUCAUUAGUUGCCAUCAGGUCAAGCUGGGGACUCUAAUGAAACUGCCUACGCAAGUAGUGAGGAAGGUGGGGGAUGACGUCAAAUCAGCACGGCCCUUACGUCCAGGGCUACACACGUGCUACAAUGGCCGGUACAACGGGCAGCGAGUUCGCGAGGACGAGCGGAUCCCUCAAAGCCGGUCGCAGUUCGGAUUGAAGUCUGCAACUCGACUUCAUGAAGCUGGAAUCGCUAGUAAUCGUGGAUCAGCCAAGCCGCGGUGAAUACGUUCCCGGGCCUU
rnacentral:rRNA from 1 species